AUUGAACGCUGGCGGCAUGCCUUACACAUGCAAGUCGAACGGUAACGGGCCUGCGGGUGCCGACGAGUGGCGAACGGGUGAGUAAUGUAUCGGAACGUACCUUUCAGUGGGGGAUAACGUAGCGAAAGUUACGCUAAUACCGCAUAUUCUGUGCGCAGGAAAGCAGGGGAGCGCAAGACCUUGCCCUGAUUGAGCGGCCGAUAUCAGAUUAGAUAGUUGGUGAGGUAAAGGCCAACCAAGGCGACGAUCGGUAGCGGGUCUGAGAGGAUGAUCAACCACACGGGAAGAGGGUCACGGUCCAGAAUCCAACGGGGGGAGGCGGUUGGGAAUUUUGAACGAUGGGGGCAACCCUAAUCCAGCCAUGCCGAGAGAGUGAAGAAGGCCUUCGGGUUGUAAGGCGCUUACGGCCGGGAAGAAAUCGUAUCAGCUAAUACCUGGUGCGGAUGACGGUACCGGCAUAAGAAGCACCGGCUAACGACGUGCCAGCAGCCGCCGUAAUAC
rnacentral:rRNA from 1 species